AAAACAAAUUCGCUUGCUUUGGAGAGGUUCAUGGAGCGGAUGAGCAGCUAGGGUUAUGCAGUUAGAAUCUAGUAUGAUUUUUUACCUUUAGGUUCUGGUUGUCUUCUACUUGAAGUCAUUCACGCAAUUCCUUCACUACAGGCCCUGUCAUUGACCAUUCUAGCAAGGAAGGUGUCUCAGCUUCAGUGUUUGUCUGAGGUGGAAGCUUAAAACUCCUUAUCAUCUAUUUGCAUUGUUGUCUCCUUGGGCAUGUCACUCACAAACAAAAUGAGUGCAUUAGUUUUAUGAUUAAUUAUAGUAAUAGCUGUGUAUUUUAGUUUGCUGGAUAUUUUCUUGUUUAAUUACACAAAAUGUUGUAAGAAAUUCAAUCAUAAUCGAACAGUUGUGUAAUUAUUUGGAAACAUUUGACAACGGUUAGG